rnacentral:rRNA from 1 species
CACGUAGGGGGCGAGCGUUGUCCGGAUUUAUUGGGCGUAAAGAGCUCGUAGGCGGUUUUGCAAGUCUGGUGUGAAAUUUCGAGGCUCAACCUCGAAACGCCACUCGAUACUGCCAUGACUGGAGUCCGGUAGAGGAGUGCGGAAUUCCUGGUGUAGCGGUGAAAUGCGCAGAUAUCAGGAGGAACACCAACGGCGAAGGCAGCCCUCUGGGCCGGUACUGACGCUGAGGAGCGAAAGCGUGGGGGGCAAACAGG